UUUCCGAGUGUGAGUUUCUAUGCAACUCCUUAUGCUCUUCGGAACAGUAAAAAAUCAUAUUGCAGAGAUUACACGUUAUCAAGUUUCCGCUGGGAUAUUUGCAAACAUGACAAACGUUUGGAUUGAAAAACUGGUUGUAUUUGUCUUCUGUAAUAAUGCGCGAAACUGGACAACUCACGUAGUGUCAUGGAAAUAUUUAUAUGGAUUAGAUACAGAUAUUUAAACAAUAAUAGUACACGGGACAUUAGUAACGGAUACAUCGAUAUGUUUAUAUCGAAAUACUUAUUGACAAGAUAAAUUGUAAAUAUCCGUAUGACACGAACUAGAGAUAUUCGUCAGUGUAGGGAAACAAUAUGAUACAUUUCUUAUGAAAAUCUUGUUGAAAGACUGAUAAUAUACUUCAAAGUUUAUCAAGAAAAAUUUUAGAAAAUUUGUGAUAAUUUCCAGCGAAAACCUGCAGUAUUUUGGUAACUUGGAACACCAGGGUAACUUUGAACAAUUUGCAACGGCUCACAAAACAUGUGGCAUCAUUAAACGGAUAGACGUAGAACUUUCAUACCAGCGAUAUAAAAGUUACGCAGAGAGAAGAAGGAGAGGGGUCAACUUCAACUUCAAUAUCUGGCUCCAGGACUCUCUAAGAGUUAUGCCCCAACGCCAUUUUUCCGAUUAAUGAUCUAUAUCGAGAGUAAAGUCUUGGAAAAUUCCAAGACACGUUCCAAAAAAUCACACGAUCCGAACAUGUUCGAACACGUCUUGUCAUGACGACGGUUAGGCCAGGACACUAUAGGAGAGGGGUCAUGGGCUAGUUUUAACUGAUCCCGAUUUCAGCUGAAUGGUUACAGCAUUUCUAACCAACCACGCACAUAAACUACGUAGUCAACGUGCACGAAUUGUCUCAAUGGAUAAAGAAGUAAUGUACACGAUUCUUGACGUUAGUUAGAUAAAGAC